AAAAUCAACUAUAUUUUAUAGAGUCAACUGUAAAAUAGAGGAAAUAUAGAGUUGCGCAUUGGAGAUGGUCUUAAU
rnacentral:sRNA from 1 species